rnacentral:rRNA from 1 species
CAAGGACCAAUCAUGUUAAGAGACUACAAAACCAAAAAGAACAAAAAAGUCAACAAACCAAAUGCAACCUCGUCCAAGUGCCUUCGGUUGGGGCGACCACGGGGAAAAGAGAAACCCCCACAUGGAAUGGAAAUUAUUUCCUUAAACCAAGAAAAACAAUUCUAAGCAACAGAACAUCUGACCAAUAUAUGACCCAGGAAGACAUGAUCCUGAUCAAUGAACCA